CGCUCAAGCGGGAGAAUUAGGAACUAAAAAUAUUAACCAGAAUCCCUUGUGAGGUUCUAUAUAAAGCACAGAAAUUCUAGAAGAGUUCUUUUUAGUAUCCGGCAGCUUUAGAGUGAACAUGUGGUUGAGUUAAUUUACUUUAAAAAAAAGUUAAAUGACCACGUGUUAAGCUUUAAACUUAUUGUUACAUACUUAACAAUAAGUAUGUUUAAAAAUUAUUUAUAUUAUAUUAUAAUAAAUUGGAGGGAUAAAAAUGGUUGACCAUCAUAUCAAAAAAAUUUUGAAGAAAUUAUUUUGAGUGAAAAUUGACCACGUGUUUCCAGCAUGGAAUUUUUCAAAGGUGGACCACGUGGUGAUGGAUUGAUGAGUUUUCUAUUUUUCUACGUAGAGAUUAAUCAUGUGAAACAUGGCGGCAGAGAGGAAGCGAAAUUUUAAGAUUUUCAAUUUAAUUCAACAUCAAAUGACUAAAUUGUGAUAAAUAUGUCAGUAAUAAAAUUACUGAACAAAAUGUUAAUUAUUUUUAUUUAAAAAUGUA